rfam:Salmo salar isolate Sally breed double haploid chromosome ssa19, whole genome shotgun sequence.
CCUAAGGUUCUAUAAAGAACCAUAAAAAAUAAAAAUAAAAAAGGUU